AAAUCGGUUCUUCUCAGAACCACAACUAACUACGACUACACAGUGG
rfam:Agrilus planipennis Contig63317, whole genome shotgun sequence.